rnacentral:rRNA from 1 species
GAUGAACGCUAGCUACAGGCUUAACACAUGCAAGUCGAGGGGAAACGAUAUUGGAAGCUUGCUUCCGAUAGGCGUCGACCGGCGCACGGGUGAGUAACGCGUAUCCAACCUGCCCACCACUCGGGGAUAACCUUGCGAAAGUAAGACUAAUACCCAAUGAUAUACCUAGAAGACAUCUGAAGGAGAUUAAAGAUUCAUCGGUGAUGGAUGGGGAUGCGUCUGAUCAGCUUGUUGGCGGGGUAACGGCCCACCAAGGCGACGAUCAGUAGGGGUUCUGAGAGGAAGGUCCCCCACAUUGGAACUGAGACACGGUCCAAACUCCUACGGGAGGCAGCAGUGAGGAAUAUUGGUCAAUGGGCGAGAGCCUGAACCAGCCAAGUAGCGUGCAGGAUGACGGCCCUAUGGGUUGUAAACUGCUUUUAUAAGGGAAUAAAGUGAGUCUCGUGAGACUUUUUGCAUGUACCUUAUGAAUAAGGACCGGCUAAUUCCGUGCCAGCAGCCGCGGUAA